CGCGGGGUGGAGCAACGGUAGCUCGCCUGGCUCAUUUACCAGGAGUGUGGGGGUUCGAAUCCCUCUCCCGCAA
rnacentral:tRNA from 1 species